UACAGUGACCAGGUGACGACGGAUUUCUCAAGUAACAACCUCAUGGCUUGGUCACAGUGUC
rnacentral:pre_miRNA from 1 species